CCUACGGGAGGCUGCAGUGGGGAAUAUUGGACAAUGGGGGCAACCCUGAUCCAGCCAUGCCGCGUGUGUGAAGAAGGCCCUCGGGUUGUAAAGCACUUUCAGUGAGGAAGAACGCCUGGUGGUUAAUACCCAUCAGGAAAGACAUCACUCACAGAAGAAGCACCGGCUAACUCCGUGCCAGCAGCCGCGGUAAUACGGAGGGUGCGAGCGUUAAUCGGAAUUACUGGGCGUAAAGCGCGCGUAGGUGGCUUGAUAAGCCGGUUGUGAAAGCCCCGGGCUCAACCUGGGAACGGCAUCCGGAACUGUCAAGCUAGAGUGCAGGAGAGGAAGGUAGAAUUCCCGGUGGAGCGGUGAAAUGCGUAGAGAUCGGGAGGAAUACCAGUGGCGAAGGCGGCCUUCUGGACUGACACUGACACUGAGGUGCGAAAGCGUGGGUAGCAAACAGGAUUAGAUACCCCAGUAGUC
rnacentral:rRNA from 1 species